CAUAUUCUUCCCGGAAACUUAACCCAAUUCUCUCUCUGCUGCGUUUACCCAAUUCAUUUUUCCUUUUCUCUUCACUAAGAUUCAAAUGAAAACCAAAGAAUAGCAAUAACCCUAUUCAUUUUUCCUUUUCUCACUACAGUCCUUUUCUUCAAAUAUGUAGAGAUUGCUGCUUCAAAUGGAUAAUAUCAUUGACUUUUUGGUCUUAAGGUGCUUUUUGUUUAUGUUCUUUUCAAUUAAAGAUUCACAAGGAAAUACCAAAAAGCUCAAAGUGAAGAAAACAGAAGUGUUAAAUUUACCUCGGGGGGAAUGUAUUGUGGUUCCAUUUGAUUUUCUGGAUCCAAUAGACGAAGCACAAGUCGUUCUCGCAGGCUUUUGUGGUAUUUUAGAAAGUGACUGUUCCAUAUUUCCAAUUAGCUUUUAUAAAUGGCCGGAUAUGCCCGAAUCAUAUUUCAACGACUGCUUUGAUAACAUUACAAAGUUAUAAGCUCUAUAAUGUUACAACCAUAUCUUUAUUUUAUAUCUUUCGACUUUAUAUUUGUAUGUAAAAGGUAAAUUAACCAAUUUUAUUUUCAAAGCCCCACUUUCAUUUUAUGACAAUUGAGGAUGUUGCAUGGUUAUAUGCUUAUCACUCUAUUGAAAAGAAGUGGGCUAGAAAUAGGCAGGCCUUGUGGAAUGAGUUCAAAGACCCACUUAAGACCAAAGAUGAAAUCAGGAAUAAUGUUCCAGAAGGUAUAACUCGGGAUCAGUGGGCUUCUUAUGUGAACUACCGUUUGAGAAAUGAUACUCAGAAAAUGUGUAAAAGAAAUGCCGAAAAUCGAAAAAAGCAAACAGUUCCACACACGGGUGGCUCAAAGCCGAACUCUAGAAGAAGGGCUGAAAUGGUAAAUGAUGUCACCUUGUUAUUUAUUGCUCAUGAAUUCUUAUUCUUCUUCUUCUUCUUCUUCUUCUCGCUUUCGAUUUUCACCAUUAUUAGGGGAUAAGCCAUCUUCCACUAAAGACUGAUCACUAUAAGUGUUUGCAGUGAGAAGAUGUUAAAAUUGCUAAUUUAGGUAAGCUUACAUUAAUGUUAAAAAUCCAAUUCAGGAGGAGGGGUGUUGGAUUCUUUCCUCUCAGUGUCAUUGGCAGUAUUGGCUGUUGUUUCCUCAGAAUUACCAUCUUUUUAAUCAGCAAAAAAGUCCAUUUCAUCAAUGAUUGGUCCGUUUUGAGACUUUAGACUUGAGACUAGGGAAGGAAGACCAAAUACUAGUUGAGACCAAAUUCUAAUAGGCUGUAAAUACAUUUUCGUUUUCGUGUAUUUUAGUUCUCUAAAACUACGUUUGUCUACUUAAACCUCAACCAUACAGUUGGUAGUGAAAUCCUCUUUUUUUCUUUUUCUAUUUGCUUUGUUGUUCAUUAUUGCUAAUAUUAAUCUCCAUGUAGUUUAAAUAUACAUUGCUUGCAUUCUGUUUUCUUUUCCUUUGUAUGGGGUUGUGUGUAUGGAUGCACAUGUUUAGUUCAAUGCAGCUUUUCUUUUUUCUUAGGGUGUUUGGCUGAAACAUUAGUAGUAUGACUCUUUCCAGUUCCCUUUUGUUCAAAGUAAGUUUGGUGUAAGUAGCUUAGUUCUCGGCUAUUAGAUCAUGUGUAGAUUAUGCAGGUACAAUCUAGUUUACUUCCUUUCCUAAUGUUCUUUGCAGGUGUAAUUAGUUUAAGAUCUUUAAUGCAUUUGAUGGAUAUUGUUUUCAUGUUGGUAUAAUGUUGACUCAAUUUUUUUUGAUUAUGUACGUUUUAUCCUUCAAGGAUAAAACAACCGUCCUACCUUGGUAGGAGUAAGGUCUGCGUACACUCUACCCUCCCCAGACCCCACGUUGUGGGAUUUCACUGGGUUGUUGUUGUUGUUGUUAUCCUUCAAGGACACCUCAUACGUUUUGACAUGUCGGGCAUCCUUGUUAUCCUUGUUGCCAUUCGCUUGAUGUCUUUUGUCAACUAUCUUUAUGGGUGAUAUAAAGAAGAAAAGAGUUCAUUAUUUGCAAGUUACAAUUUGGAGUGUGUUCUUUUGACUGCUAAUGAUCACAUCUUGGUAAUGUAUUCACAAAUCGCUCUUUU